rnacentral:rRNA from 1 species
GUCCACGCCCUAAACGAUGAUGACUAGUUGUUGGAGGAGUUAAAUCCUUUAGUAACGCAGCUAACGCGUGAAGUCAUCCGCCUGGGGAGUACGGUCGCAAGAUUAAAACUCAAAGGAAUUGACGGGGGCCCGCACAAGCGGUGGAUGAUGUGGUUUAAUUCGAUGCAACGCGAAAACCUUACCUACCCUUGACAUGUCAGGAACGCUGCAGAAAUGCAGCGGUGCCCGAAAGGGAACCUGAACACAGGUGCUGCAUGGCUGUCGU